UCUUGGUUGUAUUUUUCUGUUCGAGGAUGUUUUGCUCUCAGAUUCAUGAGCACGACAAAGAACACCAAAAAGGUAAUAACUUUUUUGCUUCUUUGCGAUUUUUGUUUUUCUGCCAUAUUUAAACACUUUUCUUUGUAUUUCUUCUAUGUUGGGUUAAUGUUUUCUUGUGAGAUUCAUGAACACGGUGAAGAACACCAAAAAGGUAACAACUUUUCUUCUUCUCUGUGAUUUUUUUGUUCUUCUACCAUAUGUAACUACUUUUCUUUGUAGUAUUUUUCUGUUGGAUGGAUGUUUUGCAGUCAGAUUCACAAGCACAGUGAAGAACACAGAAAAAGAUCUACUCUUUCUGGUUGUAUUUUUCUGUUCGAAGAUGUUUUGCUCUCAUAUUCAUGAGUACGGCAAAGAACACCAAAAAGUCAGAUUCACAAGCACAAUGAAGAACACAAAAAAAGAUUUACUUUUUCUGGAUGUAUUUUUCUGUUCGAGGAUGUUUUGCUCUCAGAUUCAUGAGCACGGCAAAGAACACCAAAAAGAUUAAUGUUUUCUUGUGAGAUUCAUGAACACGGUGAAGAACACCAAAAAGGUAACAACUUUUCUUCUUCUCUGUGAUUUUUUUGUUCUUCUACCAUAUGUAACUACUUUUCUUUGUAGCAUUUUUCUGUUGGAUGGAUGUUUUGCAGUCAGAUUCACAAGCACAGUGAAGAACACAAAAAAAGAUUCAUGAGCACGACAAAGCACACCAAAAAGUAUUUAACAGUUGGAUCAAGUUUUUCUCUGUCAAAUUCAUUAACUAAUUGAGGCAAGGACAUCCAUCAAGAUUUUGGGCAAAAUAGUUCAAUGAACUCCUUGAGCAACAUAAGAAAGGAUGAAUAUGUGGGUGUUUGAGAAGAAUGAGGGAGCCAAAAGAUGUUUGCUGAAGAUGCAAAGCUGUGCUCAAGACAUUUAUGCAAUUCCUAAGAAUAAAAGAGCACACAAACUAAUGCAGAAAAUUUAAUCUUUGGGUAGAACAUUUAUGUUUGACAGAGGUUGGAAAUGGCAUGUUGAAGAAGGUCUGCAUGGGAAGAUACAACAUUCAUUUAAUUAGUGAAGGAGUGUCAUGUCCAAAAAAAACAUAAUUGGUGGUCUGCAUAAUUAAUGUUUUGAAGUAGUAAGUAUUAUACCAGGACACUUUAAAAACCUUUUCAAAGUUUCUUGGAGAAGGUAAUCAAUUUUUUAA